rnacentral:lncRNA from 1 species
UCAGAGAGAAUUACAUCCAUGCACAUCCUUACCUAUCGAUUGUUUUAACAGCUCUAAAAUUGUGGUUUUUCAGUUUCAAAUUGUGGUUAGAUGAGACAUGGAGCUUCUAAAUGAAGCAUGAAAUCCUACCAAAGUUCUGCUCCAACUUUUAGCUGGAAGGUUUAUAAAAGUGGAUUUCAUUUUAUAGUUUUUGGACAAUGCAUUCUUUUAAAAAUUCAUUGUUUACUAAUAACGAGCACAUUGAGGCCAUUCUUUUACUCACUGGUAGCUUUUUAUUAUCAACCAUUUGGGUGCUCCCUGUCCCCAUCUCUGUUGCAGGCGGCCUGGAGCUGUGAAAGCACUGGCUCUUCUGAAACCACAGUGUGUUCUGGGUACUUAGAACUGCAUCGAUCCUGUGUAAAAUGAUACCAAGCAGGGAUUGCAUUCAGAGACCCCUUUCAUUUGUAUAUCUGGGCUCUCAAGGCUGGUCACAGGAGGGCUCUGGUGUCGGCUCAGGGCACCCUGCCUUUCGCUGCCAUACCGGCCACUACCUGUUCUGACCAGGAUUUUUUUCUGGCUACUGCAUCUGCAGAAUCUUUUAAAACCUACCAUUCAUGGGGGGAUUGCAAAUGUCCAGCAUCAUCCAGGUUCUGUAUUUUGAGGUUGAUCUAAACCUAAGAAAAAUCACCUUAAUUCUUUAUAGUUACAUAGUUGGAGUCUGGAAUGGGCACCCUGGCUCAGCCCAGAACUUACUACUUGUUCUGUUGUUGUUGUUUGUUUUGCACUCU